rnacentral:rRNA from 1 species
ACUCAAAGGAAUAGACGGGGGCCCGCACAAGCAGUGGAGUAUGUGGUUUAAUUCGAAGCAACGCGAAGAACCUUACCAGGGUUUGACAUCCUAUGAAUCCUGUAGAGAUAUGGGAGUGCCCUUCGGGGAGCAUAGAGACAGGUGGUGCAUGGUUGUCGUCAGCUCGUGUCGUGAGAUGUUGGGUUAAGUCCCGCAACGAGCGCAACCCUUAUUGUUAGUUGCUAGCAAGUAAAGUUGAGCACUCUAGCAAGACUGCCGGCGAUAAGUCGGAGGAAGGUGGGGAUGACGUCAAAUCAUCAUGCCCCUUAUGUCCUGGGCUACACACGUACUACAAUGGCUUAAACAGAGGGAAGCAAAGCAGUGAUGCGGAGCAAAUCCCAAAAUAAAGCCUCAGUUCGGAUUGUAGGCUGCAACUCGCCUACAUGAAGUCGGAAUUGCUAGUAAUCGCAAAUCAGAAUGUUGCGGUGAAUACGUUCCCGGGCCUUGUACACACCGCCCGU